rnacentral:rRNA from 1 species
CCUACGGGUGGCUGCAGUGGGGAAUAUUGGACAAUGGGCGAAAGCCUGAUCCAGCCAUGCCGCGUGUGUGAAGAAGGCCUUCGGGUUGUAAAGCACUUUCAGUGGGGAAGAAAGCCUUGGGGCUAAUACCCUCGAGGAAGGACAUCACCCACAGAAGAAGCACCGGCUAACUCCGUGCCAGCAGCCGCGGUAAUACGGAGGGUGCGAGCGUUAAUCGGAAUUACUGGGCGUAAAGCGCGCGUAGGCGGUCUGAUAAGCCGGUUGUGAAAGCCCCGGGCUCAACCUGGGAACGGCAUCCGGAACUGUCAGGCUAGAGUGCAGGAGAGGAAGGUAGAAUUCCCGGUGUAGUGGUGAAAUGCGUAGAGAUCGGGAGGAAUACCAGUGGCGAAGGCGGUCUUCUGGACUGACACUGACGCUGAGGUGCGAAAGCGUGGGUAGCAAACAGGAUUAGAUACCCCAGUAGUC